UGGUGGAGUGAUUUGUCUGGUUAAUUCCGUUAACGAACGAGACCUCGACCUGCUAAAUAGUUCGGCGAACUCUUCUGGGUUCGUACGUGACUUCUUAGAGGGACUAUCGUGUGUGUAGCCGAUGGAGGUUCGAGGCAAUAACA
rnacentral:rRNA from 1 species